GAAUUGUAUGUGAGAGUUGGAGGGAAUUAAACCAAAGCAUCCAUUUAAAAUUAUUAUGCCUCUAUUUUGGUUUAAUUUCCUCCAAUAUCUCACCUCCAAUUC
rnacentral:pre_miRNA from 1 species